UAAGGAAUAUUGCGCAAUGGGGGAAACCCUGACGCAGCAACGCCGCGUGGAGGAUGACACUUUUCGGAGCGUAAACUCCUUUUAUCAGGAAAGAAUAAUGACGGUACCUGAUGAAUAAGCACCGGCUAACUCCGUGCCAGCAGCCGCGGUAAUACGGGGGGUGCAAGCGUUACUCGGAAUCACUGGGCGUAAAGGACGCGUAGGCGGAUUAUCAAGUCUUUUGUGAAAUCUAGUGGCUUAACCACUAAACUGCUUAGGAAACUGAUAGGAUAGAGUAGGGGAGAGGUAGAUGGAAUUCUUGGUGUAGGGGUAAAAUACGUAGAGAUAAAGAAGAAUACCCAUUGCGAAAGCGAUCUGCUGGAACCUAACUGACGCUGAGGCGUGAAAGCGUGGGUAGCAAACAGG
rnacentral:rRNA from 1 species